GGCUCCGUAGAGCAGUGCGGUUCUUGCGCUGUCCGGUGCGCUCGCGUCGGCCCUUGAAAAUCCGAGUGAGGGAGUGUGAUUUUCGUGCCGGACCGUACCCACAUCCGCAGCAGGUCUCCAAGGUGAACAGCCUCUAGUCGAUGGACCAAUGUAGGUAAGGGAAGUCGGCAAAACGGAUCCGUAACCUUGGGAUAAGGAUUGGCUCUGAGGACUGAGCCGGUCGGGCUGGGGACCUGAAGCAGGAACGGCACUGCACCGGGACUGGGCGGGGCUCGCCGUUCACGCGGCGCGGCCAAGCCCGGACCAGCGUCGGGACCUUCCUGUGGAAAGCCUCAGCUGCGCGGCGUCUGAGGGCUUCGUGCCCAAAGUGCUAUGCUUCGGCCGGCAAAAAACAGUCAACUCAGAACUGGCACGGACCGGGGGAAUCCGACUGUCUAAUUAAAACAAAGCAUUGCGAUGGCCGCUGGUCGGUGUUGACGCAAUGUGAUUUCUGCCCAGUGCUCUGAAUGUCAACGUGAAGAGAUUCAUCAAAGCGCGGGUAAACGGCGGGAGUAACUAUGACUCUGCGGUCGACUGUUUUGGGGCUCCCACAGUUUAGCUCUAAAAUGAAGGAAAAACCCUAGAAUUUUGCAAAAGAUGUGACAGAAGCUCUCCAUGAAUGUUCCAGGAACGCGCCCGGGUAGUCGUUCUCCAGCCUAGAGGCCUUUCCAGGCAGCAGGGACCUGUUUUCUCCCGACGGUACGGCCGCCCGGCCAAGAUGGCCGCCACCUGACUGCCAGCCUGCACUUUCCUCGGCUGUCCUGCGCCAAACCUGCCUCCAGGUCAGCUGGCUCGGUGUCAGAGCUGUCCCGCUGCCGGAAUUCCUGCGAAGGAAGACUUUCCAUGCGGCGGGUGGCCUCCUGCUCAUCAUCUGGCUCGCCAGGCAUCGAGGUGAAGGCUCCUUUGUUCCCAACCCAAGCAGCAUCUGGGCCCCACUAAGACGGCGCUGGGGGCCGAUCCCGUCGCAGUCAAGGCUUCCCCUUCAACACAGGGCGGCAGAGGACCGAGCGGCAGCAUGGCAAGUGCUUUGAACAGCAUAGAAUUGUAUAAUUUGCGCUGAACGAACUGUUUUACGCUCGGAAGCACGUUUGUUUUGAUCGGCCCCGGAGGCAGUGCAAUACCGCGACUAAAGCGGCUAAGGUGAGGUAAAAUGAUUUCUGCUAAAAAUUCGCUGUAAUAGGCCGUUCGCGGGCGAAACUUCAGCUAAUUGGUAUUCUAAGUGCAGCAGCUGCCUCCCUGCUAAUUUUUACAGCGCGUAGUUACCAAUAUUUGGCCAAAUUAACUGUUUUUUGCGAAACACCACGUGUUUCAGCUUAAAAUUCGCUGUAAUAGGCCGUUCGCGGGCGAAACUCCAGCUAAUUGGUAUUCUAAGGGAAGCAGUUGCCUCCCUGCUAAUUUUUCCAGCGCGUAGAUACCAAUAUUUGGCCAAAUUAACUGUUUUUUGCGAAAAAACCACGUGUUGAGGUUUGGUUGCCAGACUUUCGUGUCUGCACAGCAGUUCUGGUAAGAGGGGUUGCCAGACUUUCGUGCCAAGCGCACUAAAACGGCGCUGUAGGCCGAUCCCCGGCGCA
rnacentral:ncRNA from 1 species